UGGACCCAGCAGUUCCAUCCUGCACUGACGGACUCUAUCUCCCCAAGUUCCUGCCUCCAACUCCAGCAAGUCGGGCUCAGCUGGUCGCGUUUGUCAACCUAAACCUGGAGAUUACGAUCAAAGCGGAGGCAACUAGCGCCCAGUGAGUAAUACCAUGAUGAUCAGUGGACCAGUACUACACUGAUCAGUGGACCAGUAACUCCACUGGUUCUGUGCAGGGUCUCGGGUGUUUUCUUCAGUGGACCACACGGCACCACAAAGCAGGAGGUGUCUGAGGGCCACUUCCUGCUGAACUGGACGCCGCCUGAAGGCAGCGAGGAGGAGACCCACCCCAUGUGCUUCGUGGUCCGAGCAGUAAAAAGGUCUCUGGUGUAACUGUAGUAAUGUUGGUACUCGAGUACACAGCUUCAUGUUCUACACCAGAUCCUCCAGCAACUCGCUGCCAUGGCUCUAACAGACGAUGCUUUCCUCCCUCAGCAAGUAAAGUAAAGUAAAGUAAAGUAAAGUAAAGUAAAGUAAAGUAAAGUAAAGUAAAGUAAAGACGUGUCUUCAUGCUCUCGUGUCUGUUUGUGUUUUCAGAACCAACCACAGCCCGACCCACAACUCUUCCUCCUACGACCACAACCACAGCUACGGCUCCAACCAGCAGUCAGAGCACCUGGAGUCAGGAGCCGGACUUGAUGCCCAAAAACUCUGUUAAAGGAAACCACGCUGGUAAAGUGUGGGGUCUAGUGAUUGGUGCUGGACUCAGCGCCGUGGUUCUAACCACUGGAGUCUGGGCAGUGAGCAGAUACGUCAAAGCUCGUAGGUCUCACGGUUCAGUGUGUUCGACUUUGACGUCUGCUGAGUUUUGUGCUUGUUCAUCCUGUGUUCUGCACCUUUACAGGGAGAGCAGGGAUCUAGAGAGGGACUUGAACCCAACGCCGCCCUGCCAUCUUCUAAAUACCUUUAUGAACUAUAAUUUCUCCAUGUGGUGUCAGUCACAGUCCAACUGUCUCCUACACCUGAGAGGUGACGCAGGUGGAGAUGAGAUGACAAACAGCACUGACUCACACGUGAAGGAGUUGUUAUCAUUUAUGUCUCAAUAAUAAUAAUAAUAAUUAACCUACUGUUUUGUAUGAAAUGUAAAGUUUGCUAAAUAUUUUGCAUCUUACUGUACGUCAGGUGUUUUCUAGUGUUUUACUUUGAAAGUGAGAGUGAAGCAGGAAACAGCAGGUGGCGCUGGUUCCCCAGACUUUUAUUAAGCGUCUUUACAAAUUCAGCCCAAGGAUCCUCUCAAUUAAAUGUCCAGCUGUUACAGUGGAUGUGUAGAGUAAUAAACACAGACUCCUUUUACUUGAACUAAUUUUA
rnacentral:lncRNA from 1 species